GGUUUUUAAUCCACUCUUUGACAUUAGUUUACGGACAAAAUUGCUUAUUCCAAAUUACUGUAUACAGUUCUGUGUUCCCCUCUCCACCCAACUGUUAAUUGUGUUAUCCCGGAAAGAAUUAACUUUUUUUCGGAUUUUUUUUGUUUGACAAUUUAAAAAACAAUCGAGCAGCUCUAAAACGUUGUAUUACCAUUAUUAAUUUUCACCUUUAUUUUUGAGGGCCAAACUACUUUUGAUUUUCAAACAGUAACCUAUACUAAAAAUUUCAUAAAUAAAUGGAGCAUUAUUUUAAAUACAUUUUGAUGUUGAAAUUUUUGAUUUCCGUCGAACCCGUUGAUGCGACAUUAUACUUUUAAGUUUAGAUAGAGCCGGUAGAGGGAGAGUAAUGGAGUAUUAUUCAAACUUCGAGCACCUGCUGCCACACUAAUGACGCUCGAUGACUAAUUCUUCCCCUAUCCAAACUUAAAAACGG